GACGAACGCUGGCGGCGUGCCUAAUACAUGCAAGUAGAACGCACAGUUUAUACCGUAGCUUGCUACACCAUAAACUGUGAGUUGCGAACGGGUGAGUAACGCGUAGGUAACCUGCCUGGUAGCGGGGGAUAACUAUUGGUAACGAUAGCUAAUACCGCAUAAUAUUAAUUAUUGCAUGAUAAUUGAUUGAAAGAUGCAAUUGCAUCACUACCAGAUGGACCUGCGUUGUAUUAGCUAGUAGGUGAGGUAACGGCUCACCUAGGCGACGAUACAUAGCCGACCUGGGAGGGUGAACGGGCAACCCGGGACUGGGACCAGGCCCAGAAUUCUACGGGAGGCAGGAGUAGGGAAUCUUCGGCAAUGGACGGAAGUCUGACCGAGCAACGCCGCGUGAGUGAAGAAGGUUUUCGGAUCGUAAAGCUCUGUUGUAAGAGAAGAACGGGUGUGAGAGUGGAAAGUUCACGCUGUGACGUUAUCUUACCAGAAAGGGACGGCUAACUACGUG
rnacentral:rRNA from 1 species